GUCAGUUGGCUGCUAUGAGAAAAAGAAAGAGUCAGUGCUCUGAGAGCUGCCCAUGAGGAACACAAUAAGGUGACAUGGCUGUGACUCUGAGUUCAGUUCUUGCACUCUGGAAAACACAGAACUGAGAAUUCCUGCCUCUCUGUGCUGGCAGUGGGUCAGGACCUAAGGCAGGCUCAGCUGCAGUUCCUGAGUGGCCAGACAGGUCAGAAACACUCUCAGGAUGGAGAGAUAGCAGCCUUGCCUUCCCCCAGUAUCCUGGCAGCCCUUGCACCACAGAGGAGCAGAUCAGAGCAGGUGAGGAGCCAGGUGAGCAGAGGGCAGUGCCCAUGGGUGCCUGGCAGGAGCUGUGGGCAGGUGCCCGUGCUCCCCGUGCCCUUCAGGGCUCCUUCCCAGCACAGCCCAGGGCCUGCCUGCUGCAGCAGUGAUCCUGUCUGCCUUUCAGCUUUGCUCAGCCACCCAAAGGUCAAUAAACUGCUCAUUUAUUGGAGCGCUAACGCUUCACUGGGCCGACAAAUCUCCAUCUCCGCAGCAGCGGGGCGGGCUGGGGCUGUGGUCCCAGGUGCAGCCUGGAUUUGUAGCCCUGCAAGUACAACUGCUACAAGUUAAUAACCUCUUAAGGGCACUUUGACCUUUUCCCCCUUUAUUUCCUCAUUUUCCCAAAUUGGUUUGAUUCCAGCUCCUGUUUCAACCAAACUCUGCAGCCUUCCGGUGUCAGUGGAGUGGAGCCACAGCCACUUCUUCCAAAAUUCAUCUUUUUUUGGUUGUGCUGGGAGCAAAACUCAACCAGCUGCAGCUCAACCAUUGUAGCUGGACAGCCCAGAAGGAUGGAGGAAGGGAUGGUUAUUUAUUUUACCUACAAAUGCAUCUGACUUAUGUUAGAAUCCUCAAGGUGAUGCCCCUGGCUUUGCUUGAUGUCAUUAGGGGGAAAACCCCACAAAACCACAGCUGUGGUGUGAAAACAAUGGGAGAGCCCCUGGAAGGCCUGCAGCCCGAGGGUGUGGGGAUGGGUGCUGAGCCCAGAGAGCAUCCAGGGCUGGUUUGGCUGCAGGGCCCAGCCAGGCCUGGGUAAAGCUGAGUUUAUCCCAUGUGCCUGCAGCUCUCAGGAUCCCAGCCAGGCCUGGUUAAAGCCGAGUUUAUCCCAAGUGCCUGCAGCUCUCAGGAUCCCAGCCAGGCCUGGUUAAAGCUGAGUUUAUCCCGUGUGCCUGCAGCUCUGCAGGGCCCAGCCAGGCCUGGUUAAAGCUGAGUUUAUCCCGUGUGCCUGCAGCUCUCAGGAUCCCAGCCAGGCCUGGUUAAAGCCGAGUUUAUCCCGUGUACCUGCAGCUCUCAGGAUCCCAGCCAGGCCUGGUUAAAGCCGAGUUUAUCCCGUGUACCUGCAGCUCUGCAGGGCCCAGCCAGGCCUGGUUAAAGCCGAGUUUAUCCCCAGUGCCUGCAGCUCUGCAGGGCCCAGCCAGGCCUGGUUAAAGCCGAGUUUAUCCCAUGUUUCUGCAGCUCUGCAGGGCCCAGCCAGGCCUGGUUAAAGCCGAGUUUAUCCCACAUUUCUGCAGCUCUCAGGAUCCCAGGCUGGCAGCUGGGCCCCCCUGGCUCUGAGCAGUUGCUGGAGCACCCAGAGCUGCUGUUUCCAAACAAGCCCCUCUCACACAGAUGGCCAGAGCUGCUUCAUUUAGAGCGCAGCUCAUCUUCCCACCGGCCUGCUGGAGUUUAAAUGCCACUGAACAUAUUGACAAUUGCACAGGCAUU